CAUAAAAGUGCUGUAUCAUGGAACAAUACGUGUUCUUGUUCUACUGUCCAGUUGUAACUUGCAUUUUCAGUCAUUCUCAAUCUCACUCAUGUUUGUUUUAUCGACCACAAAUGCGUUUACACAUGAAAAAAUGUAUAAAGUAAGAUAAACGUGUCAUGCCUGACGAAGGAACAUGCCUUUCCACGUGACCAAUAGAAAUGAGCCGAUUCAUGCUAAUUAUUACGUCGACGUUCAGGAUUUGUAGGUUUUCAGAAAUCAAAAUGGAAUGUGUUCAAUCUACUUAAACCGUAACACGGUACGGGUAACGAGUUAUUAUGGCGUUAAUUAUGUACAUAUCUUUGUAACUUGGGUUCACACAUGUGUGAACGUGAAGUGUGAACAAUACCGUGAGUAUAAUGCAACAAGUGUAACGUAACAUACCUAUUUUCUUGACCUAUUCCCAUGAAAAAAAAUACUUACAUGCCACACACUUCAUCCUUUAAUUUUUAGUAAAACCAGAAAUCUGCAUUGAUUCGAUCGACCUACAAUACUGAAGCUAAUGAUGCUAAACAUACACUUUUAGCUCAUUUCAGAUAUAAAGAGAAGAUUCAUAUAAUUAUUCAUGAAAGCGUACGACAAGAGGAUUAUCUGAUUGUAAGCAGAACAACAAUCAGAUAUUUAUACGUAAGUAUAAAGUUUCUCGUAUUAAAAUAUAAUUAAGUGAUUAUUCUUUGUAGUAUAAAUCAGUGAAAGUCUUCUAAAUAAGCUCCAAGUAAGCACGUUAGUCGUUACUGCUGCGAGGUUACUUGAUCAAAUUGCAUACCACAAAAAUCCACGCCUGAUUAGCACACCGUAUCAAAUUAACUAAAUGAUUUGAUAGAUACGGAUUACUUUAAAUAAUUCAAAUUCUGAAAUAUGAUACAUGUAUGCAGACCAGAACUACAUGCUUCAAGCUGCAUAUUAGUUGUUGAAUAAGCAACGUAGAAAAGUAGAAUAAGAAGAUUCUCAGACCUCAGCAUCUGUACAGCAAUAAAUUGGCGAAUCUUAGCAUUUCUUUAUUGUAAGCCAACCGAAAAAAUCUCAAUUGUGCAAUGUAAACCUUAUUUAGAUUUGGAUCCAUCCCCAUCCGCCUAAAUCGACAGGAAAAAUUUAUAACCUGUGACUUUGCGCUCUCUGUGGUAAAAAAUAGUUUGAUACCCAAGGAGCAGAAAGAUACUCUAUUUUCUUUACCCAGAUAUGCAAACCCGUGAAUUUUUACGUGAGGAUUUUUACUCCUUAACAUUUGUUAGCCGCACAGAACAACAAAUUACAAUUAAGCAUCUCAUCAUUAAUUUAGUUUGAGCAAAUAACAAUUAAGGUUGCACGAAUUCCAUAUUUUAUGCCUUGGACAACCAUGCUAAGAGAUUUAACAACGUCCGUCUGUAUCCUUAGCAUAAUUUAAAUUAAAAAGAUCCUCAAUCGUUAAAUCUUGAUCCUCAUUAAAAUUUGCGAACCUUUAAGAAGUUGGGGGGAAAUUCAACAAUGAUUAUGAGACUACAAUAGUACAUUUAAAUUCUAAAUUCCUACAUAAAUACGUGGGUUAGCAUGUCGUGAAUAUGUUCGGUGCUUUGUUACGACAUUCUCGUAAGGUGAGAGGAAGUGAUAAAGAAUUGCAGAAGGUGAUGAGUCCGAGAUGAGAGAAUUGUUUUGGCACGCCAUCAAAAACACUCUCCUGCCCCAUAUUCCACGCAAAGGCAACGUUCCCCACACAAAUAUUUAAGACCCACAAGCAAAACCGGUGAUACUGAUGACGAUGACCACCAGGACUUGUAGCACAAAAACACAGUGCAGUAGUAAGUAUGGAGUGGUCGUAAGUAAUAAUAAUGACUGACUCACACACUCAUUUUGACUCUAUGUACAUGAAUGGUUAUCUAACUCAAUUUUGGCAAUCAUCCUUGUCUGCUGCUGGGCUGACCUUUGCUUGAUUUGGUUGACUUCUGGUUUAGUCAGAAAAAUAGGGCAGGAUUCGGGUCUCGUCCUCCUCCCUUUGCAAGCACAAGUAUUUCAUCGGCAAAUUAUGUUGGCUAUAUACAUACUUGGAUUUGUACUACUUAUGUACGUAUGUAUGUACGUACGUAUAUGUAAUGUAGCACGAUUGAAGGAUUAUCUUCGCAAGCACCCGGAUGGUUUCAUCUUCUGCAUAUUUGAUUGAGAUAUUGGGAAAAUUCCGGUUUAAUUAUUCAAGCAAGGUCACGCUGAAGAAGGUGGCAGGGGCAUGUUAUCCUAGAUGAUAUCUGAUCAGGAUCACAGUUAAUUAAAUAAUAUUGCCUCUCGCAAAGAAGAAGACAGGUUCCUUGGUACCGUUUUUUGGACACAAGGAAAUCAUCCAUGGUUUUACCAGUGCACACAUUCCAUUAUUCAACAGCCUAUGUUUCAAUCAUCCGUUAUUUAUUAAAUCUUUGUUGGAAUAAAAUAACAUUAUUGACUCGGAUUCCCUUUGACUUUUGAUGUUAAUAAAAGCAAAAGUUUUUCCAUUUCAUUCAAUUCAAGAUUGAUUUGAAAUUUUAUUAAUUUGGGUAUUAAGUAAAUAGAAAGGGGUAAAAUUUCACUGCCACAUGCUCAGAUUUACAAGGUAUGAUUUCCCAUCUCGAAAAUAAAGCUGCAUUACUAUCUAUGUUGUACGUGAUUAAGUUUGCAAAUUGUUAAACUUUUGCUGAAAAGUGAUCACAUUUUUGUAGACUGUAUCAAUUUCCAUUUAACCUUUGGCGAAAAUGUGAAAUGACCAACGAGUCAGAGUCAACUACCACACACAUGAAAACAAGGAACACACCUACAACAUUUUUUUAGCUUCAUCAGUCAAGCAAGAAUCUAAUAAUUCAAGAUUUGGUUAAGUUGUUGCAACGGCUUCGUCAGCUAAGAAACUGUACAAGUCGUUGUACAAGUAAAUAAAUGCAUACAAAGUCGUCGUAUUUAGGCACACAUUAUCUCGUCAGGUUGGUUUAUCAACGUUUUACUCGGAUGUGCGGUCACAAUGUCCUUAUUUCCUAGUGACCUUUGCCUUGGUUGGCUUUCUUUCGUCGGUAAUUGCAUAAAUAAAAGUCAGCGAAAAUAACACAUUUGUUUUUCUGUUUUUAUUUAGCAUUGCAUUUUUAUUUUUCAGCAUUUGUCGCCUUCGAGUAUCGUAGUUAAUAAUACAAAACAACACUUUAAAAAAUUUAAUAAAUAUAUUAACAUAGUCAUUUUGUCUGCUUAUGGGGUAUGGCUAACAAUUAAGGUAUAUUACAUAGCAGCUUAAUUGUCACUAAGUUCUUGAUACAAAUUGAUCCCUUUCCUUGCAGCUUCUUUCUCACUCCACACAGCAAAAAAUAA